rnacentral:tRNA from 1 species
GUUGGUUCAAAGGUAGAAUGUAUCCCUGCCACGGAUAAGACCCGGGUUCGAUUCCCG